ensembl:lncRNA
UGCAAAGUUAAUAGCCCAAAAAAAUAUCCAUAUUUGAUGAGCUCCUGAUAAAGCGGAUCAGCCCAGGCCCUUUACCGCGCCUCGGGCUCAGCCGGCAAGGUAGGCACAGACUGGAUCGAAGAGCCUAACGGGCUCCUUGGGUCUUUGGAUUUCGGAUGGUUCGUGGGAGGACUCUUCUGUUGGCCAUCACGCAAACUGGGUUUGUCGUAUUUUCACAGCCAAAUAUGGUUUUGAUACCCGACCUGUUCGACACUGGCCUUGAUGUCAAAGAAGUUUUAUUUGUUCUGAUGCUAUGCAUUUUAUAUGCGUUACCUCCUCC